rnacentral:tRNA from 1 species
UGAUAUGGCUCAGUCGGUAGAGCACAUCCUUGGUAAGGAUGAGGUCAUCGGUUCGAUUCCGAUUAUCA